UACGAAGGGUGCAAGCGUUAAUCGGAAUUACUGGGCGUAAAGGGUGCGUAGGCGGUUCGUUAAGUCUGUCGUGAAAUCCCCGGGCUCAACCUGGGAAUGGCGAUGGAUACUGGCGAGCUAGAGUGUGUCAGAGGAUGGUAGAAUUCCCGGUGUAGCGGUGAAAUGCGUAGAGAUCGGGAGGAACAUCAGUGGCGAAGGCGGCCAUCUGGGACAACACUGACGCUGAAGCACGAAAGCGUGGGGAGCAAACAGG
rnacentral:rRNA from 1 species